rnacentral:rRNA from 1 species
CCUACGGGAGGCAGCAGUAGGGAAUAUUGCUCAAUGGGGGAAACCCUGAAGCAGCAACGCCGCGUGAAGGAUGAAGGUUCUCGGAUUGUAAACUCCUUUUGUUAGAGAAGAUAAUGACGGUAUCUAACGAAUAAGCACCGGCUAACUCCGUGCCAGCAGCCGCGGUAAUACGGAGGGUGCAAGCGUUACUCGGAAUCACUGGGCGUAAAGAGCGCGUAGGCGGGUUAGCAAGUCAGACGUGAAAUCCUAGGGCUUAACCAUAGAACUGCAUUUGAAACUGUUAUUCUAGAGUAUGGGAGAGGUAGGUGGAAUUCUUGGUGUAGGGGUAAAAUCCGUAGAGAUCAAGAGGAAUACUCAUUGCGAAGGCGACCUGCUAGAACAUAACUGACGCUGAUGCGCGAAAGCGUGGGGAGCAAACAGGAUUAGAUACCCCUGUAGUC